rnacentral:rRNA from 1 species
AUUGAACGCUGGCGGCAGGCCUAACACAUGCAAGUCGAACGAGUGGCGGACGGGUGAGGAAUGUCUGGGAAACUGCCUGAUGGAGGGGGAUAACUACUGGAAACGGUAGCUAAUACCGCAUACCAUCAGAUGUGCCCAGUGGGGAUUGGCUUGUUGGUGGGGAAACGGCUAACCAAGGCGCCGAUCCCUAGCUGGUCUGAGGAGAUGACCUGCCACACGUGAGCUGAGACACGGUCCAGACUCCUACGGGAGGCAGCAUUGGGGAAUAUUGCACAAUGGGCGCAAGCCUGAUGCAGCCAUGCCGCGUGUAUGAAGAAGGCCUUCGGGUUGUAAAGUACUUUCAGCGGGGAGGCGUUACCCGCAGAAGAAGCACCGGCUAACUCCGUGCCAGCAGCCGCGGUAAUUC